rnacentral:rRNA from 1 species
UACAGAGGUCUCAAGCGUUGUUCGGAUUCAUUGGGCGUAAAGGGUGCGUAGGCGGCGCGGUAAGUCGGGUGUGAAAUCUCGGAGCUUAACUCCGAAACUGCAUUCGAUACUGCCGUGCUUGAGGACUGGAGAGGAGACUGGAAUUUACGGUGUAGCGGUGAAAUGCGUAGAUAUCGUAAGGAAGACCAGUGGCGAAGGCGGGUCUCUGGGAUGAUGCUGACGUGAGGCGCGAAAGCCAGGGGAGCAAACGGG